ACGGUACCUGAGGAAUCAGCAUCGGCUAACUCCGUGCCAGCAGCCGCGGUAAUACGGAGGAUGCAAGCGUUAUCCGGAAUCAUUGGGCGUAAAGCGUCCGCAGGUGGCACUUCAAGUCUGCUGUCAAAGGUCGGGGCUUAACUCCGAACAGGCAGUGGAAACUGAAGCGCUCGAGUGCGGUAGGGGCAGAGGGAAUUCCUGGUGUAGCGGUGAAAUGCGUAGAGAUCAGGAAGAACACCGGUGGCGAAAGCGCUCUGCUAGGCCGCAACUGACACUCAGG
rnacentral:rRNA from 1 species